UACGUAGGUGACAAGCGUUGUCCGGAUUUACUGGGCGUAAAGAGCGCGCAGGCGGUCGUUCAAGUCGCGUGUGAAAGCCCCCGGCUCAACUGGGGAGGGUCACGCGAUACUGAUCGACUCGAAGGCAGGAAAGGGUAGUGGAAUUCCCGGUGUAGUGGUGAAAUGCGUAGAUAUCGGGAGGAACACCAGUGGCGAAGGCGACUACCUGGCCUGUUUCUUGACGCUGAGGCGCGAAAGCUAGGGGAGCAAACGGG
rnacentral:rRNA from 1 species